rnacentral:lncRNA from 1 species
UGCAGUCAAAGCUGGUCGGAAGCCAAAGUGCGAGUGGUGGUAACUGCCAGUUCUGGAAAGGAACGCUGGGCGUACUUUCUCUUUCAAGUAGCACACAGAAGUUUUCAUUUGUCCUAAGAAAGUGUCCAACAGUGUCCCACCUAGACAGGUUCUGCAGAUGAAAUGCCUCAAGAUACAAUAUGUCCCCUAAAAACCCUGACGUUGUUCGGUUUCCCUAGACGACACUGGUGUGAAUGAAGGGGGAUGCCAUGGCUGAUGUUUGGCGUUCUUGUGUAGGGUGGGGAAAGGUAUUUCCAGCAACCUGGUUCACCUCUGAGGCCACCUCUCUGAGGAACGCCACCAUCUGCUACCACUCUUUCAAACUGAAACCUCAGCUGACCUCGGCUCUGGGGAGAUGCCCAGGCACAGCCCACUCGAACAUGACAAAGCGAAAAACAGACAUUCACUCCCAGCCUGGUGGUUUCACCUCCAGAUCUCAGACAUAAGAUUAACUCAGAACUACUUGGAGUUUCCUACGUGGCGACGACACUUCCCAAAUGCUGACGCUCUGCCCCUCUUCGAAGGCCUGCUUUUAUUUUUCCUGUCCAGGUCAUCUGUGCAAGUCAUUAAAGUUAAAGGUUCCGACUGUGCUAUUCUAGAAAAGACAAGAACAACAGACUCCUUAAGCAGGCUAGCCCAGGCAUGUUCUCAUGGCACGGUGGAGAGACACUACAGAGGAAGUGGAAUCAUGCAGGCUAUUCAACCUUCCAAGUGUGAGAUGUUGCUAACUACCAUCCCGUUGGCCAAAGCAAGUGUUGGGAGAUAAUUCUCAGGGGUCUCUUCUGUUUCUUCGUGUCUCGUGAGCAGAGGCACUAACUGCCAUUUGUUCCUAAUUGUAUUUUCGUGUAUGUUUGUUUGUGUAG